ACCAGACUCCUACGGGAGGCAGCAGUGGGGAAUAUUGCACAAUGGGGGGAACCCUGAUGCAGCGACGCCGCGUGGGCGAGGAGGUAUUUCGGUAUGUAAAGCCCUAUCGGCAGGGAAGAAGAAAUGACGGUACCUGAAUAAGAAGCACCGGCUAAAUACGUGCCAGCAGCCGCGGUAAUACGUAUGGUGCAAGCGUUAUCCGGAUUUACUGGGCGUAGAGGGAGCGCAGGCGGCGCGCCAAGUCUGAUGUGAAACCCCGGGGCUCAACCCCGGGCAUGCAUUGGAAACUGGCGGGCUGGAGUGCCGGAGAGGUAAGCGGAAUUCCUAGUGUAGCGGUGAAAUGCGUAGAUAUUAGGAGGAACACCAGUGGCGAAGGCGGCUUACUGGACGGCAACUGACGCUGAGGCUCGAAAGCGUGGGGAGCAAACAGGAUUAGAUACCCUAGUAA
rnacentral:rRNA from 1 species